UACGGCCUUAUCAGGUAGAAACACUGGUUCUUGGCCGAUCUCAGAAGUUAAGCAACGUCGUACCUGGCCAGUAUAUAGAUGGGUGAACGCUUGGGAAUACCAGGUGAUGUAA